rnacentral:rRNA from 1 species
AAGGGCACCACAAGAACGCGUGGAGCAUGUGGCUUAAUUUGACUCAACGCGGGAAAUCUUACCGGGUCCGGACACACUGAGGAUUGACAGGCAAUCAUGUGAAAUGUUUUCAACUUUUACAUAUAAAUAUGCUAGUCCAUUCAUGAUUAUGUGAUAGGUGGUGCAUGGCCGUUCUUAGUUCGUGGAGUGAUCUGUCUGCUUAAUUGCGUUUCGCAUAGGACUUAAACUCAAGUGUGUUUCUUUUCUUGUUAUCUUUUUAUUAAAUGUAUUUUUUGAAAAAAAAAUAUGUAUUUUUGCGUUAUAAAAAUGAAAUUGGAUUUUUUUCUGGUUUUCAUUAAGUAUUUUUCAUUUUCUACUAAAAUCAUUACAAUUUUUGAAAAUAUGCUCACAUUAGGUCCUGAAAGCAACGAACGUGACAGCAUCCUCUUGUUGCCUUUUACUUAAACAAAUUUUUCCAAGAUAUUUUUAUUCUUGUAGUAAUAUAUAUUUUGUGAUGAUACGUUUUAACAAAAGAGUGCUUUAUAAAACUAGAGGGACCGCUGCGACUUUUUUAAACCAGAGGAAGGUUGCGGCAAUAACAGGUCUGUGAUGCCCUUAGAUGUUCCGGGCCGCACACGUGCUUCAAUGAUUAUUGCAGUGAGCAUCUCAUUUUUAUAACGCUGUAUCUCCCAACAUUUUUUUUUAUUUGUUUUGGUUGAGCAGUCAAGCCUGCUUCGAAAGUUCGCAGGUAAUCAAUUGGAAGUAAUGAUUUCCCUUAAUUCAAAUUUUUUUUUUGAUUUUGUGAGCACACAGUAUGCUGAUCCCUUUCCUGACAGUUAGCUUUUUUGGUCUUUCUGUCUUUCAGUGAGAUGGGAUAUUUUUCAGCAUGUGCUUUUUGUCAAUUCAUGGUGGGGACAGACCAUUGUUAAUUGUUGGUCUCGGUCUUAACUAGGAAUGCCUUGUACGGGUCUUUGGUUCAACAAACCACCCGGAAUACGUCCCUGCCCUUUGUACACACCGCCCGUC